UAACCUGCCCAAGAGAUCGGGAUAACACCUGGAAACAGAUGCUAAUACCGGAUAACAACAGAUGAUGCCUAUCGACUGUUUAAAAGAUGGUUCUGCUAUCACUCUUGGAUGGACCUGCGGUGCAUUAGCUAGUUGGUAGGGUAACGGCCUACCAAGGCGAUGAUGCAUAGCCGAGUUGAGAGACUGAUCGGCCACAUUGGGACUGAGACACGGCCCAAACUCCUACGGGAGGCAGCAGCC
rnacentral:rRNA from 1 species